rnacentral:lncRNA from 1 species
AUUACACCAAUCAUAGAGGAUGGCUCUUCUGGAGGGUACCUGAUUAGUGAUUUUCAUGGUUAAUAUUUUACUGCAGCAUAGCUUUGCAUUACCUUGGCCUAUACAUGUGCCAUUUCUAAUUGUUUGUAUAUAACAGUCCAGAGUUUUGUUUUUGGAAAGCCUGUGAAACUAAAAACAAGCUCAGAGGAAAGAGUACAUGAUCAGUUUGGUGUCUACAUUGAACAAGAGGGAAGAGUGUCCUCCAUGUAUCUGCCGACUGUGAGAUCCUGGCCUAGUGCUAUCCUAUAUAACUUCUGACUGCUGGGAGAAACUCAAAGUUUAGGUGAUGCUGUAAAGCAGACAACCAAGCUUGAAAAGGAAUUUGGGAGUUGAGGAGGAGAGAAUUCAGUGAGAUAGUCCCUGUAAAUACAUUGUACAUUACCUGGACACAUGCAGUAGUUCUGAUAUUGUAUUAUUAUUACCUGGCUAGCUCCUCUGGCAUCCUUAAGAAUCUUCACUAUGACACUGAUGGAACCACAGAGUCCAUGAUAUUGCACCAGAUGCAACCUAGUGCAAAGUCUGGGGGAUGGAGAGAGUGUGGUGAAUGGAGCUUAUUCCCUCAACAUUAAUGAAUCCAUAGUUUUAGACUGUCUCCAAAAUAGGAGCAUAUAUUCACAUCCAUCAAGACCACCUAAUCCCAUCUGAGCUGCCAGAAUGACAAACGCUGCAUGAAUGACCCCAGACUAGACCAACAGAAGACCAUUCACUUCAACCUACCUCAAAUUGCUUAUCCACGGAAUUAUGAGUAAACAAAAUGGUUGUUUUAAAUCACUGGGUUUGUGGUGGUUUGUUAUACAAAAAAUAGAUUAGUAAUAUAAUUUGUUAAACAGUAAUUAAUGAGUGUUUAAUAUGGG